rnacentral:rRNA from 1 species
AUUGAACGCUGGCGGCAUGCCUUACACAUGCAAGUCGAACGGCAGCACGGGAGCAAUCCUGGUGGCGAGUGGCGAACGGGUGAGUAAAGUAUCGGAACGUGCCCAGUCGUGGGGGAUAACGUAGCGAAAGUUACACUAAUACCGCAUACGAUCUAUGGAUGAAAGCGGGGGAUCGCAAGACCUCGCGCGAUUGGAGCGGCCGAUAUCAGAUUAGGUAGUUGGUGGGUUAAAGGCUCACCAAGCCGACGAUCUGUAGCUGGUCUGAGAGGACGACCAGCCACACUGGGGCUGAGACACGGCCCAGACUCCUACGGGAGGCAGCAGUGGGGAAUUUUGGACAAUGGGCGCAAGCCUGAUCCAGCCAUGCCGCGUGCAGGAUGAAGGCCUUCGGGUUGUAAACUGCUUUUGUACGGAACGAAAAGGUUUGACUUAAUACGUUGGACUCAUGACGGUACCGUAAGAAUAAGCACCGGCUAACUACGUGCCAGCAGCCGCCGUAAAAC